UACGGAGGGUGCAAGCGUUAUCCGGAAUCAUUGGGUUUAAAGGGUCCGCAGGCGGAAGAAUAAGUCAGUGGUGAAAUCUCCCAGCUCAACUGGGAAACUGCCAUUGAUACUGUUUUUCUUGAAUUUGGUCGGAGUGGGCGGAAUGUGUCAUGUAGCGGUGAAAUGCAUAGAUAUGACACAGAACACCGAUAGCGAAGGCAGCUCACUAGACCUGAAUUGACGCUCAUGGACGAAAGCGUGGGGAGCGAACAGG
rnacentral:rRNA from 1 species